CCCUUUAAAAGGCCUGGGGGUGGGUGGUGUUAGCACAAGAGAAAGGUGAUUCUGGGAGCUGGGGAAACAGAUGGGGAAUGGGGACAGAGGGUAGGGCGCUGAGUUGGGUGGAAAGUUUGUCUGGAGAACUCCCACGGCUCUGGCCUCCCCUCCCCCUCCUGGCUCCCAGCUGCCCAGCCUGGAGGAGAAGGCUGGUUAGCAGAGACAUGGCCACUCAGCCGGGAGCUGGAACUAGAAACUUUCUGUCGAUGCAAACAGCCGCGUGGGUGGUGACCCAAUGGUGGUUGGGCUUCGGGUCACGUGACGACUUCUUUGUCGCUCCGGAAGAGAACUGUGAAGUUUAGGUUGCGUGGAAGGAGCAGAGAAUUGCAAGGGGGGGAAAAAAUCAAGAUUUGGGGGAAUUACCCACAGAGACUGAAGGUAAGUUGGUUGGUGAUGGCCUAGCCAUCUUGUCUGUGUUUUUAAAAUGUGCUUCUCUACCUUGUUGCCCUGUCUCCUCCCUCUAGCCCACGCCCAAGCCUGGAAUACCAACUGCAUACUGCCAGAGGCCUAGGGUUGAGGGGGGGGUCGGAGUGGUUGCAUCUCCAAUCUGCUGUGGAUUCCUUUUCAGCGGGUAGGCAGACAGAUGGAACAAGGGCUGGAAGAUUUUUAAAAAGCAACCUCUCAGGCCAAGAAGGGAAGGAACUCCAGGCCUGUCCUUCCCAGGAAGCCUGGUUGCCAAGUCCCUGCCUCUUCCUUCAGACCUCCAGGCUACCACUCCAGGCUCUCCCCCACCCCUUGACCUCAUC